rnacentral:sRNA from 1 species
CGUUCCUCUGCUUACGACGUUUUCAUGAAUAAGCCAGAAAAUGGUCAGCACAGAAGCCUCCCUACAACCUGGAAAAAUAAAUGACCUUUAACUUUGAAUAUCACACAGACAUAAUGAGGGAUGGUGUCAGACAAGUGCUGAAGGCACUGUUUGUUUCCUGCCCCCAUGCUGAGCUCAGACCACAACCGAAUCCAGAGCCUGCCAUUUAUCACUUGACCACGUACAUCUGAACCUGCAAGACCCUUGCACAGCCUUCACUGAGGUGUGAAAACUGACAGUUUCCUUCUCCUGCCACUGGUUCUGCAGCAAUUAAAGCUUUUUUGCUAUU